UACGUAGGGUCCGAGCGUUGUCCGGAAUUACUGGGCGUAAAGGGCUCGUAGGCGGCCAACUAAGUCAGACGUGAAAUCCCUCGGCUUAACCGGGGAACUGCGUCUGAUACUGGAUGGCUUGAGUUUGGGAGAGGGAUGCGGAAUUCCAGGUGUAGCGGUGAAAUGCGUAGAUAUCAGUCGGAACACCGGUGGCGAAGGCGGCUUCUUGGGCCGUUACUGACGCUGAGGCGCGAAAGCCAGGGGAGCGAACGGG
rnacentral:rRNA from 1 species